rnacentral:rRNA from 1 species
UACGAAGGGUGCAAGCGUUACUCGGAAUUACUGGGCGUAAAGCGUGCGUAGGUGGUUCGUUAAGUCCGAUGUGAAAGCCCUGGGCUCAACCUGGGAAUGGCAUGGGAUACUGGCGGGCUAGAGUGCGGUAGAGGGUGGCGGAAUUCCCGGUGUAGCAGUGAAAUGCGUAGAUAUCGGGAGGAACAUCUGUGGCGAAGGCAGCCCCCUGGGUUAACACUGACGCUCAUGCACGAAAGCGUGGGGAGCAAACAGG